GUGUAAGCUUUUGUGUGCAUGUACACUUCUUCAGAUAGACUGAAACAGAAGAAUAUAUAAGGGUCUGGUGACAUAUGUUUCAGUGUAUCUGAAGAAGUGUGCAUGCACAUAAAAGCUUAU